GUCCUCCCUCGUUGUAGUUGCUAACCUUAUGUCUGACAUGACAACCAUUUCUCCCAUCCCUGCCAAUACAGAUCAAAUUUUCUAAAAGGAAGCCCAUAGUCGAAAAAAUACAAUCACACCACUGAGAAGAAGCUACACUUCGUAAUGCAAAUGACAUGGACUAUUAUGGCUCAUCAGAAGUAAAAAGAAUAUCCUGCCGACCAAAUUUAGAAAGUGCACCUUAAAACA
rnacentral:lncRNA from 1 species